GCGAUAAGCGCCGGUAAGGUGAUAUGAACCGUUAUAACCGGCGAUACCCGAAUGGGGAAACCCAGUGUGAUUCGUCACACUAUCAUUAACUGAAUCCAUAGGUUAAUGAGGCGAACCGGGGGAACUGAAACAUCUAAGUACCCCGAGGAAAAGAAAUCAACCGAGAUUCCCCCAGUAGCGGCGAGCGAACGGGGAGGAGCCCAGAGCCUGAAUCAGCAUGUGUGUUAGUGGAAGCGUCUGGAAAGGCGCGCGAUACAGGGUGACAGCCCCGUACACAAAAGCGCAUGUGCUGUGAGCUCGAUGAGUAGGGCGGGACACGUGGUAUCCUGUCUGAAUAUGGGGGGACCAUCCUCCAAGGCUAAAUACUCCUGACUGACCGAUAGUGAACCAGUACCGUGAGGGAAAGGCGAAAAGAACCCCGGCGAGGGGAGUGAAAAAGAACCUGAAACCGUGUACGUACAAGCAGUGGGAGCACCCUUUGGGUGUGACUGCGUACCUUUUGUAUAAUGGGUCAGCGACUUAUAUUCUGUAGCAAGGUUAACCGAAUAGGGGAGCCGGAGGGAAACCGAGUCUUAACCGGGCGUUAAGUUGCAGGGUAUAGACCCGAAACCCGGUGAUCUAGCCAUGGGCAGGUUGAAGGUUGGGUAACACUAACUGGAGGACCGAACCGACUAAUGUUGAAAAAUUAGCGGAUGACCUGUGGCUGGGGGUGAAAGGCCAAUCAAACCGGGAGAUAGCUGGUUCUCCCCGAAAGCUAUUUAGGUAGCGCCUCGUGAAUUCAUCUCCGGGGGUAGAGCACUGUUUCGGCUAGGGGGCCAUCCCGGCUUACCAACCCGAUGCAAACUGCGAAUACCGGAGAAUGUUAUCACGGGAGACACACGGCGGGUGCUAACGUCCGUCGUGAAGAGGGAAACAACCCAGACCGCCAGCUAAGGUCCCAAAGUCAUGGUUAAGUGGGAAACGAUGUGGGAAGGCCCAGACAGCCAGGAUGUUGGCUUAGAAGCAGCCAUCAUUUAAAGAAAGCGUAAUAGCUCACUGGUCGAGUCGGCCUGCGCGGAAGAUGUAACGGGGCUAAACCAUGCACCGAAGCUGCGGCAGCGACACUGUGUGUUGUUGGGUAGGGGAGCGUUCUGUAAGCCUGUGAAGGUGUGUCGUGAGGCAUGCUGGAGGUAUCAGAAGUGCGAAUGCUGACAUAAGUAACGAUAAAGCGGGUGAAAAGCCCGCUCGCCGGAAGACCAAGGGUUCCUGUCCAACGUUAAUCGGGGCAGGGUGAGUCGACCCCUAAGGCGAGGCCGAAAGGCGUAGUCGAUGGGAAACGGGUUAAUAUUCCCGUACUUGGUGUUACUGCGAAGGGGGGACGGAGAAGGCUAUGUUGGCCGGGCGACGGUUGUCCCGGUUUAAGCGUGUAGGUGUGUGUUCCAGGUAAAUCCGGUUCACUUUAACACUGAGGCGUGACGACGAGGCACUACGGUGCUGAAGCAACAAAUGCCCUGCUUCCAGGAAAAGCCUCUAAGCAUCAGGUAACAUCAAAUCGUACCCCAAACCGACACAGGUGGUCAGGUAGAGAAUACCAAGGCGCUUGAGAGAACUCGGGUGAAGGAACUAGGCAAAAUGGUGCCGUAACUUCGGGAGAAGGCACGCUGACACGUAGGUGAAGUGAUUUACUCAUGGAGCUGAAGUCAGUCGAAGAUACCAGCUGGCUGCAACUGUUUAUUAAAAACACAGCACUGUGCAAACACGAAAGUGGACGUAUACGGUGUGACGCCUGCCCGGUGCCGGAAGGUUAAUUGAUGGGGUCAGCGCAAGCGAAGCUCCUGAUCGAAGCCCCGGUAAACGGCGGCCGUAACUAUAACGGUCCUAAGGUAGCGAAAUUCCUUGUCGGGUAAGUUCCGACCUGCACGAAUGGCGUAAUGAUGGCCAGGCUGUCUCCACCCGAGACUCAGUGAAAUUGAACUCGCUGUGAAGAUGCAGUGUACCCGCGGCAAGACGGAAAGACCCCGUGAACCUUUACUAUAGCUUGACACUGAACAUUGAGCCUUGAUGUGUAGGAUAGGUGGGAGGCUUUGAAGUGUGGACGCCAGUCUGCAUGGAGCCGACCUUGAAAUACCACCCUUUAAUGUUUGAUGUUCUAACGUGGACCCGUUACCCGGGUUGCGGACAGUGUCUGGUGGGUAGUUUGACUGGGGCGGUCUCCUCCUAAAGAGUAACGGAGGAGCACGAAGGUUGGCUAAUCCUGGUCGGACAUCAGGAGGUUAGUGCAAUGGCAUAAGCCAGCUUGACUGCGAGCGUGACGGCGCGAGCAGGUGCGAAAGCAGGUCAUAGUGAUCCGGUGGUUCUGAAUGGAAGGGCCAUCGCUCAACGGAUAAAAGGUACUCCGGGGAUAACAGGCUGAUACCGCCCAAGAGUUCAUAUCGACGGCGGUGUUUGGCACCUCGAUGUCGGCUCAUCACAUCCUGGGGCUGAAGUAGGUCCCAAGGGUAUGGCUGUUCGCCAUUUAAAGUGGUACGCGAGCUGGGUUUAGAACGUCGUGAGACAGUUCGGUCCCUAUCUGCCGUGGGCGCUGGAGAACUGAGGGGGGCUGCUCCUAGUACGAGAGGACCGGAGUGGACGCAUCACUGGUGUUCGGGUUGUCAUGCCAAUGGCACUGCCCGGUAGCUAAAUGCGGAAGAGAUAAGUGCUGAAAGCAUCUAAGCACGAAACUUGCCCCGA
rnacentral:rRNA from 1 species